rnacentral:sRNA from 1 species
CGUUGGCUCCAGACAAAUAAACAUGGAGUCCAUCUUCCACGAGAAACAAGAAGGCUCACUUUGUGCUCAACAUUGCCUGAAUAACUUAUUGCAAGGAGAAUAUUUUAGCCCUGUGGAAUUAUCCUCAAUUGCACAUCAGCUGGAUGAGGAGGAGAGGAUGAGAAUGGCAGAAGGAGGAGUUACUAGUGAAGAUUAUCGCACGUUUUUACAGCAGCCUUCUGGAAAUAUGGAUGACAGUGGUUUUUUCUCUAUUCAGUGGUUUAACUUGAAUUCUCUCUUGACGGGUCCAGAAUUAAUAUCAGAUACAUAUCUUGCACUUUUCUUGGCUCAAUUACAACAGGAAGGUUAUUCUAUAUUUGUUGUUAAGGGUGAUCUGCCAGAUUGCGAAGCUGACCAACUCCUGCAGAUGAUUAGGGUCCAACAGAUGCACCGACCAAAACUUAUUGGAGAAGAAUUAGCACAACUAAAAGAGCAAAGAGUCCAUAAAACAGACCUGGAACGAGUGUUAGAAGCAAAUGAUGGCUCAGGAAUGUUAGACGAAGACGAGGAGGAUUUGCAGAGGGCUCUGGCACUAAGUCGCCAAGAAAUUGACAUGGAAGAUGAGGAAGCAGAUCUCCGCAGGGCUAUUCAGCUAAGUAUGCAAGGUAGUUCCAGAAAUAUAUCUCAAGAUAUUCCACAGACAUCAGGUACAAAUCUUACUUCAGAAGAGCUUCGGAAGAGACGAGAAGCCUACUUUGAAAAUCACAACUCAGAAGUAGAUGAAGGAAAAUUCUGAUCAGCUGACAUCCUCUUAAUACAGCAGCAAAAGCAGCAACAGCAGCCGCAAAAGCAGCAACAGCAGCCGCAACAGCAGCAGCAGCAGCAGCAGGGGGACCUAUCAGGACAGAGUUCACAUCCAUGUGAAAGGCCAACCACCAGUUCAGGAGCACUUGGGAGUGAUC